GGCAGCACGGGGGCAACCCUGGUGGCGAGUGGCGAACGGGUGAGUAAUGCAUCGGAACGUGUCCUCUUGUGGGGGAUAACCAGUCGAAAGACUGGCUAAUACCGCAUGAGAUCGAAAGAUGAAAGCGGGGGACCGCAAGGCCUCGCGCGAGAGGAGCGGCCGAUGCCGGAUUAGCUAGUUGGUGGGGUAAUGGCCCACCAAGGCGACGAUCCGUAGCUGGUCUGAGAGGACGACCAGCCACACUGGGACUGAGACACGGCCCAGACUCCUACGGGAGGCAGCAGUGGGGAAUUUUGGACAAUGGGCGCAAGCCUGAUCCAGCCAUGCCGCGUGUGUGAAGAAGGCCUUCGGGUUGUAAAGCACUUUCGGACGGAACGAAAUCGCGCGGGUGAACAAUCCGCGUGGAUGACGGUACCGUAAGAAGAAGCACCGGCUAACUACGUGCCAGCAGCCGCGGUAAUACGUAGGGUGCAAGCGUUAAUCGGAAUUACUGGGCGUAAAGGGUGCGCAGGCGGCCUCGCAUGUCAGGCGUGAAAUCCCCGGGCUUAACUUGGGAAUGGCGCUUGAAACUACGAGGCUGGAGUGUGGCAGAGGGAGGUGGAAUUCCACGUGUAGCGGUGAAAUGCGUAGAGAUGUGGAGGAACACCGAUGGCGAAGGCAGCCUCCUGGG
rnacentral:rRNA from 1 species